rnacentral:tRNA from 1 species
GGAUGCGUGCCCGAGUGGGAAGGGGUCCGCUUGCUACGCGGUAGCCGGGGCAAACAGUCUCGCGGAGGUUCGAUCCCUCCCGCAUCCG